rnacentral:rRNA from 1 species
GAUGAACGCUGGCGGCGUGCCUAAUACAUGCAAGUCGAGCGAACAGAUGAGGAGCUUGCUCCUCUGACGUUAGCGGCGGACGGGUGAGUAACACGUGGAUAACCUACCUAUAAGACUGGGAUAACCUCGGGAAACCGGAGCUAAUACCGGAUAAUAUAUUGAACCGCAUGGUUCAAUAGUGAAAGACGGUUUUGCUGUCACUUAUAGAUGGAUCCGCGCCGCAUUAGCUAGUUGGUAAGGUAACGGCUUACCAAGGCAACGAUGCGUAGCCGACCUGAGAGGGUGAUCGGCCACACUGGAACUGAGACACGGUCCAGACUCCUACGGGAGGCAGCAGUAGGGAAUCUUCCGCAAAGGGCGAAAGCCUGACGGAGCAACGCCGCGUGAGUGAUGAAGGUCUUCGGAUCGUAAAACUCUGUUAUUAGGGAAGAACAAAUGUGUAAGUAACUAUGCACGUCUUGACGGUACCUAAUCAGAAAGCCACGGCUAACUACGUG